rnacentral:rRNA from 1 species
CCUACGGGUGGCUGCAGUGGGGGAUAUUGCACAAUGGGGGGAACCCUGAUGCAGCGACGCCGCGUGGGUGAAGAAGCGCCUCGGCGCGUAAAGCCCUGUCAGCAGGGAAGAAAAUGACGGUACCUGAACCAUAAGCCCCGGCUAACUACGUGCCAGCAGCCGCGGUAAUACGUAGGGCGCAAGCGUUAUCCGGAUUUACUGGGUGUAACGGGGUCGCAGACGGCGAUGCAAGCCAGGAGUGAAAGCCCGGGGCACAACCCCGGGACUGCUCUUGGAACUGCGUGGCUGGAGUGCAGGAGGGGCAGGCGGAAUGCCUGGUGUAGCGGUGAAAUGCGUAGAGAUCAGGAGGAACACCGGUGGCGAAGGCGGCCUGCUGGACUGCAACUGACGUUGAGGCGCGAAAGCGUGGGGAGCAAACAGGAUUAGAUACCCGUGUAGUC